rnacentral:rRNA from 1 species
AACGAACGCUGGCGGCAUGCCUAACACAUGCAAGUCGAACGAGAUCUUCGGGUCUAGUGGCGCACGGGUGCGUAACGCGUGGGAAUCUGCCCUUUGGUUCGGAAUAACAGUUGGAAACGACUGCUAGUACCGGAUGAUGACGAAAGUCCAAAGAUUUAUCGCCAGAGGAUGAGCCCGCGUAGGAUUAGCUAGUUGGUGUGGUAAAGGCGCACCAAGGCGACGAUCCUUAGCUGGUCUGAGAGGAUGAUCAGCCACACUGGGACUGAGACACGGCCCAGACUCCUACGGGAGGCAGCAGUGGGGAAUAUUGGACAAUGGGCGAAAGCCUGAUCCAGCAAUGCCGCGUGAGUGAUGAAGGCCUUAGGGUUGUAAAGCUCUUUUACCCGGGAUGAUAAUGACAGUACCGGGAGAAUAAGCUCCAGCUAACUCCGUGCCAGCAGCCGCCGUAA